CGCCAGACUCCUACGGGAGGCAGCAGUGAGGAAUAUUGGUCAAUGGGCGAGAGCCUGAACCAGCCAAGUCGCGUGAGGGAAGACGGUCCUACGGAUUGUAAACCUCUUUUGUCAGGGAGCAAGGAGCGCCACGAGUGGUGCGGCGAGAGUACCUGAAGAAAAAGCAUCGGCUAACUCCGUGCCAGCAGCCGCGGUAAUACGGAGGAUGCGAGCGUUAUCCGGAUUUAUUGGGUUUAAAGGGUGCGUAGGCGGAACAUUAAGUCAGCGGUAAAAUCGAGGGGCUCAACCCCUUUAAGCCGUUGAAACUGGUGAUCUUGAGUGGGCGAGAAGUAUGCGGAAUGCGUGGUGUAGCGGUGAAAUGCAUAGAUAUCACGCAGAACUCCGAUUGCGAAGGCAGCAUACCGGCGCCCGACUGACGCUGAGGCACGAAAGCGUGGGGAUCGAACAGGAUUAGAUACCCGAGUA
rnacentral:rRNA from 1 species